rnacentral:rRNA from 1 species
UACGGGGGGAGCAAGCGUUGUUCGGAUUUACUGGGCGUAAAGGGCGCGUAGGCGGUCGUGACAAGUCACUUGUGAAAUCUCCGGGCUUAACUCGGAACGGUCAAGUGAUACUGUCGGACUAGAGUACAGAAGGGGCAACUGGAAUUCUCGGUGUAGCGGUGAAAUGCGUAGAUAUCGAGAGGAACACCUGCGGCGAAGGCGACUUCCUGGCCUGUUCUUGACGCUGAGGCGCGAAAGCUAGGGGAGCAAACGGG